UCUUUGCAUGACGGAGUUUUAACCUGCAUUUGAAGGACGGCUGGGAGAAAUGCGCUCUUAAUGAUUUGUGGUCAUUUGAGGAAGUGUGUCUGAACCCACAAAAUCAGACAUUUUAUUCCUCAGACAUCCAUUAUUAUUCAAACCUGACUUUGGACCACUGGGAAUUCUCCAGAUUUUGUCAUUCUUUUCAUGAUUGGAUGAACAAUAGACGAAGAGAGAUUUCAUCCCCCUAGUUGUCCAUUAGGGAACAUUUUUCUGAGAUUGUUCCACUAUUGUAAGAUAUUUCAGUCUCUCCUUUUAUAUCCAGUAUUCUUACUGACCUUUAGACAAUUUUGUUGCAAAGUGCUCCUCCAGCUGCUUAUUGCUAAGACUUCUUUGGUCAAUUAUGUCCCAACUUUUUUCUAGAAGUUUCCUGAUUUCUUAGUUUAAUGUUUUAUGUUUACAGCAGAUUUCUUUUUUGUGAAUACAGAUGCAUCUCAUAGAAUAUCGUGAAAAUGUCAUGUUUGAUUGAUUCAUUUUUAGAAAGUGAUUCUUCCUUUAAAAAAAAAUCUGAAACACAAAUGUUAUAUGGAUUCAUUACACAUAGAGUGCUAUUUUCCUAGCAUUUAUUUAUCAUAAGUUGGUCAAUUAUAGCUAAUAGGUGAUAACAAUGAAAAUUCAGCUAGAAUGUCACAUAUGUAGUUUAAAUACAGAAAGCCAAUUUUAUGUCCUACCUACACAAUUAGAGGAAAAACUCCCUUGACAAGGAGGAUAAGCUACAAAAGGUUAUAACUGAACAAUCUGGCUGUUUACAGAGUGCUGCUGUGUAUAAGCAUGGAAAGUUGAGUGGAAGGAAAAACUGUGACAGAGCGAGAAACUUAAAAUUACCUAAUUUGUCGAGAUGCACCUAUAAAAUAAUGGGUUUAAAUUUGCAUUUUAAAUCAUUGCAUUCUGUGUUAACUUCUGUUUUGCACAGUGUCCCAACUCUUUUGAAAUGGGAGUCGCACACUGCCUGGCGUUCAAACAAAAGCGGCUGUGUCCCGUCAGGUUACGGGGCUUUAACCCGCUCGACUGGGAAGAACGCGUGCCACAAGUGUUGAAAACACACAAAACCCCUGCCAGCCUACAAAGCUGUACAUUUCUACACUAGAGAUUUUAAACUGAUGAUUGUAUCAAAGUCAUUAACUUUAUAAGUGUUAGUUUUUACAAAUGAAACAUGUUAACAGUAUUUAAAGCCGGCGUUUUUCAUAGCUUUUUGUGCAGCGUUAGAAAACAGCCCUUUGCUAAUAACCCCGAUAGCUGAGAAUGUUUGUAGUUUCAGGCGUUUCCUGACGUUCGUCUCUUUCUGUACCAAGUACGCAUCAAGUGUAGAGCAGGUAGAGAGGCCAGGAGGGUAGCGAGCACUACAAAAGACAAUUUGCUUCCUGGUUAGGCAGUUUAUGAAACACUAGUCCAACGGUAUUUCAUUCUUUAGGUAGUAAGCUUUAAUCAAUCGGCCUUACAUGUGAUAGGUUUGAGCCACUGUGCUGUUUGGUUUUUGUUUGUUUUUUCUUUGGAUGCUGGCCCUCAGACUGUAAAAAUCAAUUCCUAUGGGUUUCAACCAGAAAAUAUUUAUUUUACUCAAUUUAUUGAAUCUUAAACUGAAUUUAUAGCUGUAAACCUUUGCUCUGGAUGGGGAAAGUAAUUUCCAAAGUGAAACCCAUUUGCAUGAUGAAAAUGCCCUCUAUACCUUUUUUUUUUCUUUUUUUUUUUUACCUUACGCACCAUGAUACAGACGGAUCUCCUGGCAUUUUGAGGACCACUCCAGAAAACAUCAAUUUGUCGCAUUUUUCAACUUCAUUCUUAAAAUUUUGGUUUGUAAUCUCCUUAAUCCAAAUGAAUGAGAUCCUGGAAUACAAAUGAGAGAAAUGAGCUUCCGCCAUGACGUGGCUGGACUCAGAGAUUAUCUGAAGAGCUUCGUCCAUUUAUGUGGCGAACAAUUUGUCAAUCAUUUCACAAGACUUUCCAAAGAUGUACCGGUUAUGUCCAAGAUCUCACGUCUUUCAAAAAUGAUUUGAAGUCCCCAGAGAAACUUUCUUAGAGUUCCUGCAUCGUUUUACAGCAAUUCAAAAUCCUUUUAGUAGCACAAGUCUCUGCUGCAGCACAUGACAUUCAUUUAAAAAAACAAAAAAAACAAAUGACGCACUGGUGGCAUUUUCAUCAUGAUUCAAACUUCCCAGUCUGAGGCGUCACCCGUGGCUCAGCACAGGGUAGACAACAGCGCCACUCAGUGUUAGGUGUGUUAGUUGGCAGGAGAGUCCCUGCUUUCAUUCUGUUUUUAAACGCUGAUACUGCCUUCAUUCAUGUUCAUGCAGUCUGUGUCGUGCAAAUGUCUAAAUAUAUUUAUUCUUUAAGUGUGUCGAGAAAAAGUACUGUAAAAGAAUAACUGAUUUUAUGUUUCGGAGCCUAAAAACAAGUAUGCUUUACAUGUACUCGUCUGCCACUCCAAUGUCUGUUUUUGUCAAAGAAAUUAACUUUUUAUUUUGCAUUUGAAGCCAAAAGAAGUCUCGGGAGUUCAGGGUGUUUUACGUGAAAAAUGCCAAUAAAUUAUAUGGAAAUUUA